rnacentral:ncRNA from 2 species
UUAAAACAUUUGGGGUGCUUUUAAGCUGAGAAUAUACCCAUAGAACCUGAUGCUGUUAGUACAGCCGUAGGAAAAUGUUUAUUUUUUAUC